rnacentral:rRNA from 1 species
AGCAGCCGCGGUAAUUCCAGCUCCAAUAGCGUAUAUUAAAGUUGUUGCAGUUAAAAAGCUCGUAGUUGAAUUUCGGGGUCAGUAGAUUGGUCAUGCCUCCGGUAUGCACUGGUCUUACUGGCUCCUCCUUCCUGAUGAACCGUAAUGCCAUUAAUUUGGUGUUGCGGGGAGACUGGACUGUUACUUUGAAAAAUUGAGUGUUUAAAGCAGGCUAACGCUUGAAUACAUUAGCAUGGAAUAAUGAAAUAGGACGUUCGAUCUUAUUUUGUUGGUUUCUAAGAUUGACGUAAUGAUUAAUAGGGAUAGUUGGGGGCAUUAGUAUUCAAUUGUCAGAGGUGAAAUUCUUGGAUUUAUUGAAGACUAACUACUGCGAAAGCAUUUGCCAAGGAUGUUUUCAUUAAUCAAGAACGAAAGUUAGGGGAUCGAAGACGAUCAGAUACCGUCGUAGUCUUAACCAUAAACUAAUGCCGACUAGGGAUCGGAUGAUGUUAAUUUUAAU